rnacentral:rRNA from 1 species
UACCAGCACCCCGAGUGGUCGGGACGAUUAUUGGGCCUAAAGCAUCCGUAGCCGGUUCUACAAGUCUUCCGUUAAAUCCAACUGCUUAACAGGUGGGCUGCGGAAGAUACUAUAGAGCUAGGAGGCGGGAGAGGCAAGCGGUACUCGAUGGGUAGGGGUAAAAUCCGUUGAUCCAUUGAAGACCACCAGUGGCGAAGGCGGCUUGCCAGAACGCGCUCGACGGUGAGGGAUGAAAGCUGGGGGAGCAAACCGGG